rnacentral:lncRNA from 1 species
AGCAAAGCAUAACUAUGUUCUUUAUUGAGUAUAUUGACCAAUUGAGUCUAAUUUACUAGACAUUCUAAUUCUACAAUUUCUGUAGAGUAAUUGUGAUUCUUCCAACUUUAUUGAUCUAUCUUGAAGAGGUAAUUUUGUUUUCUACAGCUACAUAGGGGGGAGAGCAUGGAGGGUCUGCAAGCUGUACAGACAACUAAUGAAGUGUAAAUACCAAUUGGUGAACAGGGGAUAGAGCCAGGGCAAUUGGGACAGUAUUACAUGAUUCAUGUGUACUAUGUAUAAACUUUAACUCACUAAAGUAAAUAAUGCCAAAUGCCUACUAUUAAUGUACGCUGAGGGGCAUACUGAGCUUCAGGAUUUUAAUAAACGUUCAUAGAAUGUGUCCUUUUCUCCUUUAAUUUUUGUUCUUUGGUUUAUCAUAGGGCUCCUGUUAAGUUUUAACCCAAGAAAGAGAAAAAAAAAAAGAGAUAAUCCCGAUCAAGCUAUAUAUGGUCUAUUCUAGCCUGUAUGCUUUUAUCGUCUGAAUAGUCUUAAAAAGAUAGAGUUGUAAGUUUUAAAAGAAAAUCCUGCUAUCUUCAUUUUAA